rnacentral:lncRNA from 1 species
UUUAGAAGGUUAACUCUUAAUUUCUGAUUCAUUAAUAUGAUGUAUGUGUGAAUGGAUAUGUAUGUAUCUAAUACACGUCAUUGUUGACGAUAAAAAAUCUAACUUCCUCACAUCGCACGAGGCCUUCAGUUGGUUUUUCCCAAAACGGCCCCUCCUGGAUGUCCAAUAAUCAUGGUUAAAUUUAAGGUCAGAAAACAAAUGGCGGAAUAGGUGAACACCAAGUUAUGUGGCUCUUCCAGAGUUCCCACGCGCCCAAGUAGCAGAGGUUGCAACAAGUUGCAACAAAAUCGUUAAAUUCUUGCAACUAAUAGAUUGACGUGCAGAUUGCCUACUCUUUCCUCCGAAGGAGCUAUCAUUGUUGGAAUUUGUUGCAAUUAAGUUGAAACAUGUUCCAACUUCAAUAUCGUUCCCUGUCUGCCUUCUUCGCAAACUGGUAAAGACGUCACGUGACUGGUCUUUACUAGCCAAUCACGUUACGACUUUACGCGCGCUAAUCGGAACGCCUCGUACAACAACGGACCGGUCCAUAAAUCAGCCGCCAUCUCGCACCUGUCUUGCGUUGUGUACAUGCUUCGUCUCGUCCUUCGUCUUUGGUUCUGACAAUAUGUAAGUGAAAGUGAUACGUGAUUUGUGCAAUUUAAAGUGAUAUGCAAUUUACCUUACCUCACACCACACCACUGGAUUAAAUUGGCACCCAGAAUCUGAUGAAUCAGGCAUCAUAGGAUAUUUUUUCAUCAAUCUGAUUUCUGAUAUGAAGGGUGCAUUAUAGUUGAGUGUGUAAUGGGUGAGUGUAGUUGUAGGUUGAAAGUAUCUCGAAAGAAUCAUUUAGUGUUUGCGACCACUCAACAUGCAUUUUCAAUAUGUGGACUGUAGUGAAGAAAAUAGUAGAGGGAGAAUACGAUGCUGUCCCUGACUCAUGGAUUCUUCCGAGCCGAAAGGAGAUGCAGUACCCGCUGCUGACGCCAUUCAAUGUGACAAAGCUGGCCAUGAGUGGGAAGCCAAUAUCAAAAUUAGCCUAUGAAAUUUUGGAAAUAUCUGAGUUGGGCAAAGAGUAUGGAAGUUUUGAUGACGCAUACGACGAUGCUCGAAGAUUCAACAGAGGAAAAAAAUCUAGAUCCUCUUCUGAAAGAGAGAUAAAAGGAAAAGGCCAAAGAACCAAAAUUACCAAACGUCCCUAUGCUGGGUCCAGUACAGAGUCAGACUCUGAAUCAGAGAAUGCCUCUACCAACGAUAAUGAAGACCUGAGCCCUGAGAUCAAGUUGUCCAAGGAAAAAUCAAGGAAAAAAUCAUCGAAAAUGAAAUCAAAGCAGAGACUGAAAUCCAAUAGCGAAGAAGGCGAUCAUUAUGGUAGUGAUGAAGAAAUGCUAGAGCAGUCUAGAGUUACAACUCAAGCCGCAUCUAAAGCAGCUCGAACAAAAGCUGCAAUUGCACAACACUCAGAAAGAGUGACACCUCUGCCUCUACCAUCUCCUCCUGAGAAUUUUGAGGAGCCUAGACUCAGGGAAACUCAUGCAACUUCAAAUCUUGAACCCAAAAUUAGUGAUUCGAAUAGUAGCUUCUUGCAAGUGGAGCUGGAAGGUCCCACUGAAUUAGCCUCUCCUCUAAAAACUCAUGGGAAAAAGCAUUCUUCUGAAAGCUCUAAGAAAUCAACCAAACAAGUGCAUUCAAUGGAUAAACAUUUAUUUGCAGACACGAUCAACAAGAACCGAUGUAAAGUUGGGAAGAAAACGAAGCAUCCUUGUGGUUUCCGCUUGUCGUGCAGCAAAGAAGAGGCCAUUCUGCAUACUUUAUGUUCUAUUGGAAGCAGUGUUGAAGAAUUAAAAUUCUUGGUGAAACGAGUUAAGCAAAAGGAUGGAAGCUACAUCACCAAAGAAGUAGAGCCGCUUGAAGAGGUUUAUCUUCCCGCAGAUAUUGAGCAGUUGUUGCCUUUCAAAGACAAUGUAGCCCUAAAGAACUUUGAAGAGAAAUUGAUGAAAGAAAACGAAAUUUUGAAGACUACUGUGAAUGCUUUCGCUUGGAAACAUCGCAAUGAUUCCAACAUUACCAAUACAACGAGAGGUCUUGCAAGAGAAAUAUUGUGUGAAAGUGUGCUCGCCCUCUACUCUCUGAAAGGGGGUCAUCAGAAAAAAGCCUAUGAAAAAAAGAAGCUUCCUUUUAACGAAUCAAUUAUUUACACACUAAUCGUUGAUGUUGUUGGACGCAUAUGGAAAAAGUCUGUGGACAGUUACAAAUGUGAAGUCGACAAAACCCUGGGUCCCUUUUUUACUCAGUUGAACAAGCCUGCAACUGAGGUGGGAAAACAAAGCUUUGUAAAGAAAAUGAAGCAACUUUAGAAGAUACUGUGUGCAAGUGUACGCUGUUCGGAAGCCGCAUUUUUCUGUUAGUGACAUUGGAGCAGUUUUAUCUCUCACUAAGAAUUACUGUUUUCCACUUUAAAAUUCUUGAAGCUCUGAGCUUGACUGUCUUGUAGCCUCUUCUAAAAUAUCUGAAUUCUUAAGCUCUCUUAGAAUAAACUUAAAGUUUGAUUCUCUUUCAUUUAAAAAAUGGUGUACUUUGAAGUGCUGCAAUUUCUUUCUUUAUUUUUACUUGUAUUAUUAUUAUUAUUAUUAUCAUCAUCAUUAGAUUAGAAGAGUAUUUUCAUUCAGAAGGAGCACCGAUGUAUAUUGAAUUGGAUAUUGAAUUGUUGACUCUCUGAAACAUGGAUCUCUUCCAUACUUUUUUAUGGAUUAUUAUCAUUAUUUUUUUGUUUUUUUUUGUGACUUUAAAUGGUUCUCAACGCAAAGGUGGCUGUUUUUGUUUUAUCUAGAGUGAUACUAGUCCUCAAUUCGCUUGGUUCAUGAACUCAUUCCUCUGGUGUGAUCUUAAUCUAAGGUUUUAAUUCUUGAAGCUCUGAGCUAGACUCUCUUGUAGCCUCUUUUAAAAUAUUUGAAUUCACAAGCUCUCUGAGGACGAACUUUAAGUAUCAUUUAAAAUUUCCUUCAUUAUUAUUGUUUUAUUAGAAGAUUAUUAUUAUUUAGAAAAAGCACCAAUAUAUGCCGAAUUGUUGACCCUCUGAAACAUGAUCUCUUCCAUCCUUUUUUAUGGAUUAUUAUUAUUAUCAUAAUUAUUUUUUAUUUUUUUUCUUUGCCUUUAAAUUGUUUCCAACGCAAAAGUGGCUGUUUUUGUUUUCUAAUCAAGACUGAUACUAGUGCUAAAAUAGCUUGGUUUAUGAACUCAUUCCUCUGGUGUGAUCUUAAUUUAAGGUUUUGUAAACAUUUAUAGCCCUGAAUAUUUUCAGAGUAUGCGAUUUCUGAAACUUUGGAUAUCUUUUCUUUCUCGAUAUUCUUUUUGCCUUCAUAAUUUAGUUACAAUACUUUUGUAGUACUUAAGUGAUACUUUCCCCUAUAAUGGGACUCAUGUUUGUUCCUUCUCACUUCUCUCUUAAUGCCAAUUUCUUUUUUGAUAUUAUUUUUGCCGUACUUGCCUUACAAUACUUUUGUAAAUACUAUUUGUAACUUACUUCAAUAGCAAAUUCAAAGUUUACCCACCCAAUUCAUAUAACUGCUGCACCCCAAAAAUCCAGACAUGCAGAGAUAAAUUGCGGGUCUUACGGGUCUGUUAAAAAAGCAAUUUUAUCAAUAUUAAGCUAGCUGUAUCGUAACAAAGUUUGUUACCAUUGUACUGUAGUAUUUUAGUCUUUCUUCAUGUUCUGCAAAGAGCAAAGUCAUUCAUUUGUUACCGUAAUUGUUUCCAGAGUGCAAAUUAAAGUAUCAGACCAGUAAGAAAAUGGUUCAAAUAUUGUGCAUUUUCCUUAAAAUGUCGAGAUUCUUUUAUUUUUUGACAGGUGGUUAAACUUAUAAGUAAAUGUGCUGCUGUUUCAUUAUAAUUUGUGUACUUUUGUAUUCCUUUAAACAAUUUUGGUGCAGCAAUCUCUUUACCUCAAGUGACUGUAACAGUAGAGACAAGUUGUAUGCCAUCUUUCCUAAAAACAAAAACAUUUUGUUGGUCAUUUUGUAUCAAUCUUGCCUUGAGGGAGACCCCUCACGGCAAUUUGAAUAAUUUCAUUAGAGCAACAUCAUAGUAAAGACAGCAACAUUUUCCUCGCAAACUAAACAAAUGUUGAUAAAAGAAGAAGGACUUUCAGGUAUUUAACCAUAGUCUAAAUUUAAAAAAAGAAUUUUACAAUUUAUCAGAAAUUCUCGAAAAUGUGAUGGUUUAUAGAAUACGGCUCGAAUAUUUCUUGAAUUUUUUACAAAAUUUAAGCUGUUUUAUGAAUAUGUAGAAUUUUUGGGAAUUCUCACAGCCUUUGUAAAAUCCCAAGUUUUCGAAAAUUUCCACGUCCUUUCGAAGAUCCUAUAUUUUCGAGAAUUUGGUCAGUGUUGGUAAGAACAAUUGGUAUUAAAAACAUGAACUUUCUAGAUUUCUAUCUACGCUGGAAAAUCUCGAAAAACUUAGCACGCUGUUAAAAAUUCACGUGUUUUAGCAUAUUUUGGCAAAGUUGGUAAAAUCAAGAAUUCCCGCGAUUUGCGGCUUUGAUGUACAUAAUAAUCCAGACUUUUCGAAAUUUUGAUAACAUUGGUAAAAAUUCACAUUUUUCGUUGUUACUGGAAACAUAAUCGUAAAAUUUCAAAUUUUCGCGCUUGAUGGCGUUAAAAAAAUGCAUAAUUUCCGAGAAUGCUGAAAAUUUCGAGACGUUCCAUAUCCGGACUUUUCUAGAAUUUUGGCAACGUCCGUAUAAGUCGAAAUUUUCACGUCUUUGAAAAUCAAAGACUUUUCGAGAAUUCAGGAAAAGUUGCAUCAAAAUUCGGAAUUUCCGCGAAAUUUGACGACGUUCACGAAAUGUAGCAAUUCUACACAUUUUGGCAACGUCGAUAAGUUGCAAGAUUCAUGCAAUUUAAUUGCUACAAGUUGCGACUUUUCCUUCCGAUUGGAUCGCCGAAAAUCGGCACUUAUCGACCAUAUGUUGGCUGAAAGUUGCAACUAAGUUGCAACUUAGUUGCAACUUUUAACCAAUAUUGUUUCAACUUGUUGCAACUUUAACUUUGAAAAAUGCUACUUGGGCGGUAGGAUUAAUUCGUCGUUUCCCAAACGAAGGAAUGUAACUCAAUACCAAGGUUGCAAAAUUGACCCAAACAGCAACUCUUUGUUACAGGAAUGUACUAGUACAAUUAUUUACAAAAUUUGUAUGGUUUUUGCAUGAGAUCAGAAGAUAAAUCAGUGAAAUUUUCAGUGAUAAAUGCUGAAGAUGAUCUCAGUGAUAAUUCUAUUUGCAAGGGGAAGUUUGGCCACAUCGAGACGUAGUUACGUUCUUCCGUGGGAGGAAAACGACGAAUUUUGGCCAAUCGGUGGAUUUUUAAUGCGAAAAAAAACUAAAACAAAAAUCGAACUUCCUCACAUCGCGCGAGGUCUUCGCUUAGUAUUCCCUAAAAAGAGGAAUCCUCGGAUAGUCGUGGUUUUUUCUAAUUUUCCACUAGAUGUUGCUGCGAUUUUUCAACUGUCUCGUAAUUGCGAGUUUAUUUAUUGCUCUUCAUUGGUACUUAUACACCUAUAAAUUGAAACUCUCGUUCCAAAGUCAGGACCAAUUUUUAGCAAUUUUCAAAACAAAACAAACGUUACGAGCGAGACAACUUCUGAUAUGUGCUCUAAUCAUUUACAAGUGAUAGGUACGAAUUCAAGAUGUGCGGUACACGCUG